UGCAAGUCGAACGCUUCUUUUUCCACCGGAGCUUGCUCCACCGGAAAAAGAGGAGUGGCGAACGGGUGAGUAACACGUGGGUAACCUGCCCAUCAGAAGGGGAUAACACUUGGAAACAGGUGCUAAUACCGUAUAACAAUCAAAACCGCAUGGUUUUGAUUUGAAAGGCGCUUUCGGGUGUCGCUGAUGGAUGGACCCGCGGUGCAUUAGCUAGUUGGUGAGGUAACGGCUCACCAAGGCCACGAUGCAUAGCCGACCUGAGAGGGUGAUCGGCCACAUUGGGACUGAGACACGGCCCAAACUCCUACGGGAGGCAGCAGUAGGGAAUCUUCGGCAAUGGACGAAAGUCUGACCGAGCAACGCCGCGUGAGUGAAGAAGGUUUUCGGAUCGUAAAACUCUGUUGUUAGAGAAGAACAAGGAUGAGAGUAACUGUUCAUCCCUUGACGGUAUCUAACCAGAAAGCCACGGCUAACUACGUGCC
rnacentral:rRNA from 1 species